GCUGCGGGCGGCGUUCCGACGAUAGCGGUGUGUCAGUCAGAAUAAAUGUUGACUGACACACCGCUAUCGUCGGAACGCCGCCCGCAGC
rnacentral:misc_RNA from 1 species